UUUUGGACGACCGCUGCGGUGUGCUUUAGAAUGCAAGUCGAACGAGAAAGCCCUUCGGGGUUAGUAAAGUGGCGAACGGGUGCGUAACACGUGGGUAAUCUACCCCUCGCAGAGGGACAACCGGGGGAAACUCCGGCUAAUACCUCGUACGCUCUACAAACCGCAUGGUAAGUAGAGGAAAGGUAGCUUCGGCCAUCCGGCGAGGGAUGAGCCCGCGGUACAUUAGCUAGUUGGUGAGGUAAUGGCUCACCAAGGCCACGAUGUAUAGCUGGUCUGAGAGGAUGAUCAGCCACACUGGGACUGAGACACGGCCCAGACUCCUACGGGAGGCAGCAGUCGGGAAUCUUGCACAAUGGGCGAAAGCCUGAUGCAGCAACACCGUGUGAGCGAUGAAGGCCUUCGGGUCGUAAAGCUCUGUUGUUAGGGACGAAGGGCGAAGGGUUAAUAGCCCCUAGCUUGACGGUACCUUUCGAGGAAGCCCCGGCUAACUACGUGCCAGCAGCCGCGGUAAUACGUAGGGGGCGAGCGUUGUCCGGAAUUAUUGGGCGUAAAGAGCGUGUAGGCGGUCUGAUAAGUCUGCUGUGAAACCUUGGGGCUCAACCCCAAGCGUGCAGUGGAUACUGUUAGACUAGAAGGAUGGUAGAGGCGAGUGGAAUUCCCGGUGUACCGGUGAAAUGCGCAAAUUCGGGAGGAACACCA
rnacentral:rRNA from 1 species